GUUGACCUCGAAUCAGGUAGGACUACCCGCUGAACUUAAGCAUAUCAAUAAGCGGAGGAAAAGAAACCAACAGGGAUUGCCCUAGUAACGGCGAGUGAAGCGGCAACAGCUCAAAUUUGAAAUCUGGCCCUCGGGUCCGAGUUGUAAUUUGUAGAGGAUGCUUUUGGUGAGGUGCCUUCCGAGUUCCCUGGAACGGGACGCCAUAGAGGGUGAGAGCCCCGUCUGGUUGGACACCGAACCUCUGUAAAGCUCCUUCGACGAGUCGAGUAGUUUGGGAAUGCUGCUCUAAAUGGGAGGUAUAUGUCUUCUAAAGCUAAAUACCGGCCAGAGACCGAUAGCGCACAAGUAGAGUGAUCGAAAGAUGAAAAAGCAC
rnacentral:rRNA from 1 species